rnacentral:rRNA from 1 species
AGUGGCGAACGGGUGAGUAACAUAUCGGAACGUAUCCAAUAAUGGGGGAUAACUAAUCGAAAGGUUGGCUAAUACCGCAUACGCCCUACGGGGGAAAGCAGGGGAUCUUCGGACCUUGCGUUAAUGGAGCGGCUGAUAUCUGAUUAGCUAGUUGGUGAGGUAAAGGCUCACCAAGGCGACGAUCAGUAGCUGGUCUGAGAGGACGACCAGCCACACUGGAACUGAGACACGGUCCAGACACCUACGGGAGGCAGCAGUGGGGAAUUUUGGACAAUGGGCGCAAGCCUGAUCCAGCCAUUCCGCGUGAGUGAAGAAGGCCUUCGGGUUGUAAAGCUCUUUCGCAAGGGAAGAAAACUUACUUUCUAAUAAAGAGUGAGGUUGACGGUACCUUGAUAAGAAGCACCGGCUAACUACGUGCCAGCAGCCGCGGUAAUACGUAGGGUGCGAGCGUUAAUCGGAAUUACUGGGCGUAAAGCGUGCGCAGGCGGCUUUGUAAGUCAGAUGUGAAAUCCCCGAGCUCAACUUGGGAACUGCGUUUGAAACUACAAGGCUAGAAUAUGUCAGAGGGGGGUAGAAUUCCACGUGUAGCAGUGAAAUGCGUAGAGAUGUGGAGGAAUACCAAUGGCGAAGGCAGCCCCCUGGGAUAAUAUUGACGCUCAUGCACGAAAGCGUGGGGAGCAAACAGGAUUAGAUACCCUGG